UACGUAGGGUGCAAGCGUUGUCCGGAAUUAUUGGGCGUAAAGAGCUCGUAGGCGGUCUGUCGCGUCGGCUGUGAAAUCCCGAGGCUCAACCUCGGGUCUGCAGUCGAUACGGGCAAACUAGAGUAUUGCAGGGGAGACCGGAAUUCCUGGUGUAGCGGUGAAAUGCGCAGAUAUCAGGAGGAACACCGGUGGCGAAGGCGGGUCUCUGGGCAAUAACUGACGCUGAGGAGCGAAAGCGUGGGGAGCGAACAGG
rnacentral:rRNA from 1 species